UGGGGAAUAUUGCGCAAUGGGGGAAACCCUGACGCAGCGACGCCGCGUGGGUGAUGAAGGCCUUCGGGUCGUAAAGCCCUGUCGGAGGGGAAGAAGGACUCUCGUGCAAAUAGUUCGAGGGUUUGACGGUACCCUUAGAGGAAGCACCGGCUAACUCCGUGCCAGCAGCCGCGGUAAUACGGAGGGUGCAAGCGUUGCUCGGAAUUACUGGGCGUAAAGGGCGUGUAGGCGGUUUCGUAUGUCUGGCGUG
rnacentral:rRNA from 1 species